rnacentral:rRNA from 1 species
GAUGAACGCCGGCGGCGUGCUUAACACAUGCAAGUCGAACGAAGCACUUUAUUUGAUUUCCUUCGGGACUGAUUAUUUUGUGACUGAGUGGCGGACGGGUGAGUAACGCGUGGGUAACCUGCCUUGUACAGGGGGAUAACAGUUGGAAACGGCUGCUAAUACCGCAUAAGCGCACGGCAUCGCAUGAUGCAGUGUGAAAAACUCCGGUGGUAUAAGAUGGACCCGCGUUGGAUUAGCUAGUUGGUGAGGUAACGGCCCACCAAGGCGACGAUCCAUAGCCGACCUGAGAGGGUGACCGGCCACAUUGGGACUGAGACACGGCCCAAACUCCUACGGGAGGCAGCAGUGGGGAAUAUUGCACAAUGGGCGAAAGCCUGAUGCAGCGACGCCGCGUGAGCGAAGAAGUAUUUCGGUAUGUAAAGCUCUAUCAGCAGGGAAGAUAAUGACGGUACCUGACUAAGAAGCACCGGCUAAAUACGUG